rnacentral:rRNA from 1 species
AGGAUGAAUGCUGGCGGCGUGCCUAAUACAUGCAAGUCGAGCGGUAAGGCCCUUCGGGGUACACGAGCGGCGGACGGCUGAGUAACGCGUGGGAACAUGCCCCAAAGUGAGGGAUAAGCAUCGGAAACGGUGUCUAAUACCGCAUAUGGUCUUCGGAUUAAAGGAUUUAUCCGCUUUGGGAGUGGCCCGCGUACGAUUAGGUUGUUGGUGAGGUAAUGGCUCACCAAGCCUACGAUCGUUAACUGGUCUGAGAGGAUGACCAGUCAGACUGGAACUGAGACACGGUCCAGACUCCUACGGGAGGCAGCAGUAAGGAAUCUUCCACAAUGGGCGAAAGCCUGAUGGAGCAACGCCGCGUGCAGGAUGAAGGCCCUCGGGUCGUAAACUGCUUUUAUGAGUGAAGAUAUGACGGUAACUCAUGAAUAAGCACCGGCUAACUACGUGCCAGCAGCCGC